GCCGGUUUGGCGGCGUAGUUGGUUAGAGCGCGCGAUGGCAGCGUGACUAUAAAUCUUAGCUGUGGGUUCAAAUCCUGUCACCGGCA